rnacentral:lncRNA from 1 species
GAAAUUCUCAGCACCAAGUGGGAACAUGGAUAAUCAAGGCUGGGUGUUCUAGUAGGCACAGUGAGGUGGGAAGCAGCAGUGAAGUGCUAAAGGGCAGAAGCCAGGCUGCUGCUCUCAGGUGCGAUGGCAGAUACUGCCCUGUCAUCGGUGUUGAAAUCAGUGUUGAGCAGUGUUGAGACCUGUGGGUAUGGGGCGAUAUACAAAUUUAACUAAUAAUAUUAAUAAAUAAAUAUAAAAUCAGAUUCAGCUCCAGUACAGUUGGCUUCUCUAGGUGGAACAGGGAGGGAGGUGCUUUCUUACCAUUUGCCUCAGGCAGCACAAUGUCUUGGGUCAGCUGGGUCAGCUCUGCUAUUAGGCAGAGGGAGCCAGCCACCUCAGGUACAGUGCUGGAUUUAAGGUGGUGCGGGCAGUUCCCCUGCACAGGGUGCCAAGCCGAGAGGGUGUAAAAUUGAGAAGAUCUAUGAUUAAGAAGAUCCAUUUGGGGGUGCCAAAUUUUGGUGUCACACGGUGCCAUAUUACAAAAGAUUACCAAAGCGUGCCCCUGUCAGGUGGCGGAUACUGAGGACUGGGGAGAAUUGUAUGUGCCACGUGGACAUUCCCUCCUAAGGCAGCCUGUGCAGUUGAGGACAGAGUGCUUGAAUCCACUUUAAUUCCACAAAUCUAAAUUUCCCAGCAGGCACUUCAAUCCUUCCUGCAAUAACAAUAUUGAGGCGACCAUUGACAGAAUGUGCAUGCUUGCUUCCUGUGGGUGGGUGGGUGCAUGCAGGGAGCAAAGCUGAAUCAGUCUUCAAAAGAACAAGUGUGGGAGUUUGCAGGAGAGAACACUAUGUAUUUAAGUGUUCCACUGGAAAAAGUGUGUGUCAAUUUUUAUCACCUUCUCUACUUGAAACCAACUGUUAUCUCGCAAAUGUUCCACCCUAUAUCAACCUUCCAUAUUUGUUUUGUUUUUAAAGCUGCCUUUCCUUUCCUUUCCUUUCCUUGAUGGCUUUGCAAAGUCUUAUCUGCUCCUUUCAACCCUUCCCAGUCUCCCAGAGCUAGCUUGGAUCCCAACAAGGAACUGACCAUAUUGCAAGUGUAAAUGAGUUUAGCUGUCCUGGUUUCACUGCAAAGGAUUCUGGAGGAAAAAUAAUAAGGUACCACCCUUCCAAUUUACACUCGUGGCACUCUUACAUUAAAUAGUGUAAUAAAAAAUUAUUUUCUGCAUAUGUCUGUGGGAAACUUCACUUCAUAUGCACUGUAAACUCUCAUUAGCCUCCCCCAACCUGGUGCUUCCAGGUGUUUCAUAGUACAACUCCCAUUAGUCCCAGCCAGCAUGGCCAAUGCUCACAGGCAGUGGGAACUGGAGUCCAAAGACAUCUAGAGGGCACUAGCUGGCCUGCAUCAUAAGGGGGGUGUUCUUGUUUCUUAGCUAGUCCUAACAAGGAUAUGGUGCUACUAUGGAUUCUGUCCUCUUUAGGCAGGGAUGUAGAACCUGUGGCACUCCAGAUGCUGCUGAAUUACAAUUCAUGAUUGAUAGCUCAGUCAGUAGAGCAUGAGACUCAUCAUCUCAGGGUCAUGGGUUUGAGCCCUAUGUUGGGCAAAAGAUUCCUGUACUGCAGGGGGCUGGACUAGACCCUUGCCCCUUCCUGCUCUACAAUUUUAUGAACUCACAGUCCUAACUUUGGUCAUACUGGCUGAGGCAGGUGGGAGUUGGAAUCUAGCAACAUCUGGAGAAUCUCAGGCUCCCCCCAUUUCUUGCAUAGAAAAAACCUUUGAAAGUCCAGAAGGUCAAAUAUCUUCUACUGCAGCCUACAUAUAAGGAGACCUUCAACUUCUAGCAGGCAAAAGGUUCCAGAUUCAAUCUUUGGCAUCGCUGGGUAGCGCUAGGAAGGACUUCGGUCCAAGAAUCUGAACACCAGUUGCCAAUUGGUGGAAACUAGGGACAUGGAACCUGGUGCCCUCCAGCGGUUGCUGGACUACAACUCCCAUCAUACCUGUCCAUUGGUGAUACUGGCUAGGGCUGGUGGGAGUUGGAGUCCAACCACAUCCAGAGGGCCACAGGUUUCCACAUUCCUGCCUUAACGGACCAGCAUUGGGGAGGAAUCUUUCAAAGAAUCCCUGGCUUCAGCUCUUAAAACAUAUGGCAGAUGAGUGCAUGUUUUGAGCAUUUGGACACAUUUCGUGGAUGUGAAACCCAGCUCAUCUUAAGUGAGUUCCACACACAAAUGCCUACCAUGGCGAGAGUAUGCCAACCUAUCAAACCUGUGACGUGUAAUAAUGGAACCACUGAACAGUGGGUGAUGUUUCAGCAUUAUGUAAGAUUUUAGAAGCAACAAUUUGAGAGUAUAUAUCAGGGAUGGGGAACCUGUAGCCCUCCAGAUGCAGUUGGAUUACAACUCCCAUUGUCCUUCACUAUUCGCCAUGUUGGCUGGAGCUCAUGAGUGCGGGAGUAAACUACUUCUGGAAGGUUCCCCAUCCAUAGAAGGCCUAUUGCUGUACUCUGGAUACAUUUUGGCAUUUCUAAAGGAGAAUUCAGUGCACUCUCCCCAGGCUGCCAGAGUUCCUUAGGGGAAUCCAUUAGAAGUUAAACCAUUUUUUGUGGGGGUAUUGUAGUAUAGUAUGUAUGUACCCCUAUGUGAUGCUACUCAGAUUCAAGGAAGUGAUACUGUUGCCUGGUGUGAAUGGAGAAGACUGAAGGAACUGUAAGUUACCCAUGGUGGCCAAAGGCUUACGGUCCUUUCAUCUUGCUCUGGUUAUGAUCUUAAACUAAUGACUUUGAGCCAUGUCAAUCUAUGCCAUAGCUGGUUUGGGUGAAGGCAAAUGUAAUCUCAAUGAUCUACCCAGUGACAAGUUUUGCCCCUUCUCCAUAUGCUGCUCCAUAAUCACACUUGGCUGCACUUGUGUCCAAACAGAAACAGCAGGCCAGUGUUUGUUCUUUUUAAAAAAAUAGAAUCUAAUGAACUACCAUAGCUAGAAAUAACUGCAUGAAAUUUAACUGUAGAGAGGCAGCAUGAAUUGUGUAGUGAAAUAGGCACUGCAUUAGAUCAGGCCAAAAAAUAUGCUAAAUUUAUGAAACAGGUAUGAUGAUCUCAGAAGCAUGGUUGGCCAAGACCUUUUUGCCCUGAAAUUUUAUUCCAACUCAUUGGUCACAUCCAUACCAUACAUUUAAAGUGCAUUCAGAGCAUAUGGCUUUCCCCCAAAGAAUCAUGGGAACUGUAGUUUCUUGAGGGUGCUGGGAAUUGUAGCUUAGUGAAGUUCUUGGUUCCCAAGAUUCUUUUUGGGAAGCCAUAUGCUUUAAAUGUACGCCAAACAAAAGAGAUAUAAUAAGCCACAGCAAUAAUUUAACACAGAGAACCUAAGACAAAAAUAUCCUGAAAUAAAAUUUCUGUACUGCAGCAACCUAAACUUUAAAAGCAUUCAAAACAUCUGAAAACUCAACUGCUUAUAUCUCCAAAUCAUAUAACAAGGUUUGGGCUACUGAAUUGAAUAUAAGUUGAACUUACUGUCCCCAAGGACAAUCCACCAGCCAUAAUUUAUGCCCCUGAUUUCUGAGCAUAUGUUGAGCUUUAUUUGAUAAAUGGCUGGGGUGGGGUGGGGUGCGCGCGAUGGGAGGGAUCAAAUGUAUGAUCAGAAUAUAUGUUGGAAUUUAUACUGAAAAGUGUUAUUUAAAAUGAAUUAAAAUAAAAUGUAUAUAAUUUGUAUCU